UUUAACUCCAAAUCGGCUUUUAGCCUCAUUCCUCCUCCUCUUUCAGCCCCCCUCCCGUCUGUCUCCCCCACCCCCCAGAGAUCACACAUCACAUACCUUUCUACAACACAAAGGGAAGGAGGCAGACACAGGUAGGACCACAGACAGAGGAGGAGAUUGGGGGCACAGGUAGACAGGGGGUACAGGGUGAGUGGUACAAACAGGUACUGUGACAUAGAUAGGGGGUACAGGCAGACAGCGGUACAGGCUGAGUGAUACAAACUGGAGGUACAGGUACUGUGAUAUAGAUAGGGGGUUCAGAAACAGUGACAUAGGGGGUACAGGUAGGUGGUACCGAUAGAGGGUACAAGUAGGGUGACAGACAGAUAGAGGCACAGAGUUGCUGCAUCGGGGAGAGAGUGGAAGAGGCAGGGACACCAUUGAAGAAAGUAUCAGACAGAGUAUUAGGGACUGGGGACAGAGUAUCGGAGAGACGAAAGAGAGAUAACAAAGUAACAGGCUGGUGGGAGAUGGGGAGAGGAUGAAGUAAGGGGUCACAGACGGAAAGAUAAUUAAAGUAAAAGGACAGAGAGGAGCAGUGAAGGUGCAAAGUAACAGGUGGUAGGACUGAGGAAUUCUUUAAAGAACUGAGAAUAGAAGAGCGUAACAGAGACAGGAGAGUAACAGAGGAAAACGAGUAACACAGACAGGAGAGUAACAGAGGAAAACGAGUAACACAGACAGGAGAGUAACAGAGGAAAACGAGUAACACAGACAGGAGAGUAACAGAGACAGGAGAGUAACAGGAAAACGAGUAACAGAGACAGGAGAGUAACAGGGGAAAACGAGUAGCAGACAGGAGAGUAACAGAGGAAAACGAGUAACACAGAUAGGAGAGUAACAGAGGGAGACGAGAAUUAGGCAGGAUUUGAAUACAGUAAAGGUGAAGGAGGAAGGAGAUUUGAGUAACAGAAGAAGCAGGUGAGAGUAUCAGAAGCAGGAGAGUACAAACCGAAGUGUAUCCGGAAUCCUUCACAACAGGUGAGAAUAACCUGGGGGUGCAGGGGCGUGGGGAGAGAAGUACUAGUUGGAGCAGUAUAUUAAUCUGAGGGUGAUGUUAGUAUGAGUGGGC